rnacentral:rRNA from 1 species
AUGGCCAAUCACUCUGCCACUCUCUGUGGCCUUCUUGUUGUUGUGCUUUGUCUCGCCUCCAGCUUAGCACAGGCUCAAAUUCUUUUCCAGGGGUUUAACUGGGAAUCAUGGAAGACACAAGGCGGCUGGUACAAGUUCAUGCAAGGGAAGGUGGACGACAUCGCCAGCACCGGCGCCACCCACGUCUGGCUCCCCCCGCCGUCGCAGUCCGUGUCGCCGGAGGGCUAUCUGCCGGGGCAGCUCUACAAUCUUAACUCCAAGUACGGCAGCGGGGCUGACCUCAAGUCACUGAUCAAGGCGUUCCGCAGCAAGAACAUCUCAUGCGUCGCCGACAUCGUCAUCAACCACCGCUGCGCCGACAAGAAGGACGGUCGCGGUGUCUACUGCAUCUUCGAGGGCGGGACGUCCGACAACCGCCUCGACUGGGGCCCCGACGAGAUCUGCAGCGACGACACCAAGUACUCCAACGGCCGCGGCCACAGAGACACCGGCGGUGGCUUCGACGCCGCGCCCGACAUCGACCACCUCAACCCGCGGGUGCAGAGGGAGCUCUCCGCCUGGCUCAACUGGCUCAAAACCGACCUCGGCUUCGUUGGAUGGCGCCUCGACUUUGCCAAGGGAUACUCCGCGGCCAUGGCCAAGAUCUACGUUGACAACAGCAAGCCGUCGUUCGUGGUUGGUGAGCUCUACGACAGGGACCGACAGCUGCUCGCGAACUGGGUGCAGGGCGUCGGCGGGCCGGCCACGGCGUUUGACUUCCCCACCAAGGGUGUGCUCCAGGAGGCCGUGCAGGGCGAUCUUGGGAGGAUGCGUGGCAACGGCGGCAAGGCACCCGGUCUGAUCGGGUGGAUGCCCGAGAAGACCGUCACGUUCAUCGACAACCACGACACCGGGUCGACCCAGAGGCUCUGGCCGUUCCCCUCAGACAAGGUCAUGCAGGGCUACGCCUACAUCCUCACACACCCGGGCAUACCAUGCCUCUUCUACGACCACGUGUUCGACUGGAAGCUGAAGCAGGAGAUCACCGCACUGGCUAGGGUCAGGUCAAGGAACGGGAUCCAUCCGGGUAGCACACUGGAUAUCCUCAAGGCCGAGGGCGAUCUCUAUGUUGCCAAGAUUGGGGGCAAGGUUAUAACCAAGAUCGGGUCAAGAUACAAUAUUGGCAACAACGUGAUCCCCUCGGGUUUCAAGAUUGCGGCUAAAGGCAACAACUACUGUGUCUGGGAGAAGAGUGGCCUCUGA